GGACAGGUGGCCGAGCGGCUGAAGGCACCGGUUUGCUAAACCGACGUACCCCGUCAGGGGUACCGCGGGUUCGAAUCCCGCCCUGUCCG
rnacentral:tRNA from 1 species